UGCGCAGGCGGCUUGAUAAGUCAGGGUGAAAUAUGUCGGCUCAACCGACAAACUGCCCCUGAAACUGUCAGGCUUGAGUCCGGGAGAGGAAGGUGGAAUUCCAGGUGUAGCGGUGAAAUGCGUAAAUAUCUGGAGGAACACCGGUGGCGAAGGCGGCCUUCUGGCCCGGAACUGACGCUCAGGCACGAAAGCUAGGGAGCGAACG
rnacentral:rRNA from 1 species